rnacentral:rRNA from 1 species
GACGAACGCUGGCGGCGUGCCUAAUACAUGCAAGUCGAGCGGACGGAGAGAGCUUGCUCUCGAAGUCAGCGGCGGACGGGUGAGUAACACGUGGGUAACCUGCCUGACAGUCUGGGAUAACGCUUGGAAACGAGUGCUAAUACCGGAUAAUCUCUUGGAUCGCAUGAUCCGAGAUUGAAAGAAGCUUUUGCUUCACUGUCAGAUGGACCCGCGGCGCAUUAGCUAGUUGGUGAGGUAACGGCUCACCAAGGCGACGAUGCGUAGCCGACCUGAGAGGGUGACCGGCCACACUGGGACUGAGACACGGCCCAGACUCCUACGGGAGGCAGCAGUAGGGAAUCUUCCGCAAUGGGCGCAAGCCUGACGGAGCAACGCCGCGUGAGUGAUGACGGCCUUCGGGUUGUAAAACUCUGUCUUCUGUGAAGAACAAGCCUGUGAGUGGAAUGCUCAGGCCUUGACGGUAACAGAGGAGGAAGCCCCGGCUAACUACGUGCCAGCCGCCGC